rnacentral:antisense_RNA from 1 species
UCAAAAACCUGGUGUCAUAGUGUUGGCUUCUAGUGCAGUGAGCCCCUUUUGCUGCAUAACACUACCUGGUAAUUUGACAUACCAGGUGGUUAGUAACUACUGACUGCCUCCAGGUUGCAACACAAUUAUUACCCACUUGGGUGAAAAGAGAAGACAGGAAAUAAAUAUUGGAGUCGGCUGGCAACCUGUUUACAAAGCAAUUUACAACAGUUCCUUAUUCUUAAGGGGUUAUUCUAAUGUAAGACCUCAGAGAAACAGUGCAGUGUGACAAAGGAGGAAUUUAUCAAAGGAGACAGAAAAAGCAUCAAGGCAAGCUGUGAAAUGGUGCAGUAGGAACCAAAUAGAGAGCCAAAGGAUCUCUCUGUCACUGCAGGCCCUUAGGGUGCACAUCUAUCCUUUUUCCAGACGUGGAUCUUUUACCCAUGGGAUCAUUAUCCCAUCUCUGGGCCUCUCUGAACAAAACUAAUUCACUGAGCAUGAAUUGAUCACUACUGACUCAAUCUUUUGUAGUUCAGGAAGGAUGCUCUACCUGUGAAAAAAGCAUCCAGAUCUUCUUGCAAAGGGAGUUUUGAGGAUCCCUGCACAGAGAAUGGGUCUGGAGUGGGCUGAGACUGUAGACAAGACUCAGAGGCUGGGGCUCUUUUCACAGGGGAGGGAUUUGGUGCCAGCAGUUAAAUCCAUUGUGCCCUAUUUAGAGCUUCACUCUUGUCCCAAACAUUGACAGAGUCAUCACUAUGCACCAGGGACCAUCUUAAGCUCUGAGGUCACACACACACACACAAGGAUCCAAU